rnacentral:lncRNA from 1 species
UCAGGCAGGCAAACGGCCAUUGCUGCCUCUGAGGAAGCUCCCUCUCCCUACUCAGAAGUUAUACAAAAAAAAAAAAGAAGAAAAAAGAACCCUUUACAAUGAGGCGACUCAGGGAAGCUCGACAUCAUCAGAUUAUUCUUUGCCAUCAUAACCUACAUUGGAUGCUGAUGCUAACUCCUCUGGUCCAAAAAAUAAAGGGCUCUCAGCCGGCGAUUUCAUUCUGUUUCUUCCUCAAAAUCUGAAAAUAAAUUUUUCUGACGUGCAUCACGAGAUUUCUAGAUGAUAGUCCUCGAAGAGAUUUCUUCAGGAUAUUUGCUCGUGCACAAGAGCAUAGCAUUCCUAUUUUAGGUAGGAAUGUUGACGGAAUUGUUGACGGAAUCGGGGCUAAGCACGACGUAGGACCAUGACAUCGAUUGCCGGGAAAUUCAUGUAAAAUGGAAGGUAAUCGCACUUGGAGAAAAAUUAUAAUGUGUGUGAGGUGGUGUGCACCUUGAAUCGCUGAGUAGAGAGAGGCCAAUUGGCCCCCCUUACUCGAAAAUGCCGCCUAUUUGGGUCUCAAACUAGACAAUCUUUCAGUGAUAUUGUGAAGACGGGAUUAGCCGUGAAGGUAGCACUUCGAGCGAUGGAGCCGUAACAAUUUCCUGAACCAAAAGCCCGCGCCCAUGUCAAUCGACGGAAUCGGCGGUGGAGAGAUAGAUAGAUAGAUAGAUAGAUAGAGAGAGAGAGAGAGAGAGAGAGAGAGAGAGAUUGCUGCUACCUUUGGUAGAUUGGAAGAUGANNNNNNNNNNNNNNNNNNNNAGAGAGAGAGAGAGAGAGAGAGAGAGAGAGAGAGAGAGAGAGAUUGCUGCAC